UGGGCGUAAAGCGCGCGUAGGCGGCUAUUCAAGUCAGGGGUGAAAUCCUUGGGCUCAACCCAAGAAUUGCCUUUGAAACUGUAUAGCUAGAGUGUCGGAGGGGAUAGCGGAAUUGCUAAUGUAGAGGUGAAAUUCGUAGAUAUUAGCAGGAACACCGGUGGCGAAGGCGGCUAUCUGGACGACAACUGACGCUGAGGCGCGAAAGCGUGGGGAUCAAACAGGAUUAGAUACCCUGGUAGUCCACGCUGUAAACGAUGGAUGCUAGCUGUUGGGGGGUUACCUCUCAGUAGCGUAGCUAACGCGUUAAGCAUCCCGCCUGGGGAGUACGGUCGCAAGAUUAAAACUCAAAGAAAUUGACGGGGACCCGCACAAGCGGUGGAACAUGUGGUUUAAUUCGAGGCAACGCGAAGAACCUUACCAGGAUUCGACAUGCCCUCUAUGGACUCCCGAAAAGGAGUCCUUCACUUCGGGUGGGAGGAGCACAGGUGCUGCAUGGCUGUCGUCAGCUCGUGUCGUGAGAUGUUGGGUUAAGUCCCGCAACGAGCGCAACCCUCGUCCUCUGUUGCUAACAGGUUAAGCUGAGCACUCUGAGGAAACUGCCGGUGAUAAGCCGGAGGAAGGUGGGGAUGACGUCAAGUCCUCAUGGCCCUUACAUCCUGGGCUACACACGUGUUACAAUGGCAGUGACAAUGGGUCGCGAUCGCGCAAGCGCUAGCCAAUCCCAAAAAGCUGCCUCAGUUCGGAUUGCACUCUGCAACUCGAGUGCAUGAAGCUGGAAUCGCUAGUAAUCGUGGAUCAGCACGCCACGGUGAAUACGUUCCCGGGUCUUGUACACACCGCCCGUCACACCAUGGAAGUCGGUUCUGCCUUAAGCCGCCCUUAAAAGCGUCCACGGCAGGGUCGAUGACUGGGGUGAAGUCGUAACAAGGUAGCCGU
rnacentral:rRNA from 1 species